AUCAAUUAAUGUUUCUGAAGUCUUCUAGCACGUAAUUAUGGCCCAUCGUUUUUCUCUACUGGCUGCUAUUAACAUGCAUUAAUCAUGACCUGGGAGGUCUUUUCCAAUCUUAAUGACUCUCUGUUUAUCCUCGUAUGAGGAAAAGCUACAUACUUGCAUUAAAAUGAAAAUUUUAAGACAACAGGUUUCAUGUUUGCAAGCUGCUUUCUCUAGGUCUUAUCCAGCCUUCCGGAGAAUGCUGCUUCAGAAGAGCUUUGGAUCAGGUCCUUACUGUGUAUGCACGGACUGUAAUCUCAGAAUUAAAUAGAUGUCUACUUGCUCAGCCAUUUUUAGGUGAAAUAUGCAAAAUGUGUCUACGCAGAGACAUGGGCUGAAUCAAAACCCAGUUGCAUAUGUAAAUUUAAAGAUAAGCAAUGCUCUAAGUCUGUUAUGAGUUGUUCGUGUUGUUUACUAGAUCGCUUCUCUUAAAUCUUGCUUUAAAUUACAAAACUGAGUAGUCUGAGGCCAAAAUGUUUACAAUCUGAUGUUUUUUUAGCUGCUGCGUAGCGAUGUAUAAUAUAAUUAGAUAUCAAUUAGAAAGUGUGCCAUGUUCUGUUCCCUUCUGUCGACUGCUUUCAAUUUAAAUGUUGUGAUGAGUUAAGAUAAGCAAGGGCUGCAUGCCCAUAAAACUUUCAGCUCUGUAUAAAAACACCUGCUCCAACCAGCAGUGUUCAGCUUUCCUCCUUAUUUCCCUGAAAAGCAAGAAUGAAUUACAGCCCUCAUCCAGGUCAAACAGCAAAGGUCUUGCUGGCUCGGUGGAAUCCAUAUUGAUCUUAAUGCAAGAUUCUUAAUUUUGCUAUAUGUGCUGCUCUUAACUCUGACUUCUGUGAACUCCUAGUCAAAUCUUACUGAUUUCAGAGCAAGUUGAUCCUGCUUCUGUCAGGUAAGUACUGAUACUGCGUUACUGUUGAAACUGUUGGUGCUUCUCAGCUGCUGCUGGCAAAUCAGUCUUUGACAAAUGAAAAAUUCUACCUAAAAUAAUAAAGCUUCAACACGGUCCACAGUGGAACAUCUAAAAGGAGCAGAGGAGCAAAGCAAUAUGUUCUUCAGAAAACUAAACAAUGCGUCAAAGACUAAAAAAGAAAUUGUUUCUUAUUCUUUUGGUUAUGUUGGUUCUAGCCUUGGCCUCUUCCUGGUUCUUUGAGGUUCAGCAGCAGUCCACAGCUAUGGAACAGGCCGCACUAAAGAGUUUUGAUCUGGAUGUCAUUGCUGAAGCCUCUAAUGUUUCCUGCUGGUAAAGGGACCCGGACAAUCCCAAAUACAUACAAACCUGCCUAUGUGACAAGCAGCACCAAGGGGAUAGCACAGGC